rnacentral:rRNA from 1 species
GAUGAACGCUGGCGGCGUGCCUAAUACAUGCAAGUCGAGCGAACAGAUGAGGAGCUUGCUCCUCUGACGUUAGCGGCGGACGGGUGAGUAACACGUGGAUAACCUACCUAUAAGACUGGGAUAACUUCGGGAAACCGGAGCUAAUACCGGAUAAUAUAUUGAACCGCAUGGUUCAAUAGUGAAAGACGGUUUUGCUGUCACUUAUAGAUGGAUCCGCGCCGCAUUAGCUAGUUGGUAAGGUAACGGCUUACCAAGGCAACGAUGCGUAGCCGACCUGAGAGGGUGGUCGGCCACACUGGAACUGAGACACGGUCCAGACUCCUACGGGAGGCAGCAGUAGGGAAUCUUCCGCAAUGGGCGAAAGCCUGACGGGGCAACGCCGCGUGAGUGAUGAAGGUCUUCGGAUCGUAAAACUCUGUUAUUAGGGAAGAACAAAUGUGUAAGUAACUAUGCACGUCUUGACGGUACCUAAUCAGAAAGCCACGGCUAACUACGUG